rnacentral:rRNA from 1 species
UACGGAGGGUGCAAGCGUUAUCCGGAUUCACUGGGUUUAAAGGGUGCGUAGGUGGGAAUGUAAGUCAGUGGUGAAAUCUCCGUGCUUAACACGGAACUGCCAUUGAUACUAUGUUUCUUGAAUUAUCUGGAGGUCAGCGGAAUAUGUCAUGUAGCGGUGAAAUGCUUAGAUAUGACAUAGAACACCAAUUGCGAAGGCAGCUGGCUACAGGUGGAUUGACACUGAGGCACGAAAGCGUGGGGGAUCAAAACAGG